rnacentral:rRNA from 1 species
ACGAAGGGGGCUAGCGUUGUUCGGAAUUACUGGGCGUAAAGCGCACGUAGGCGGACAUUUAAGUCAGGGGUGAAAUCCCAGAGCUCAACUCUGGAACUGCCUUUGAUACUGGGUGUCUAGAGUAUGGAAGAGGUGAGUGGAAUUCCGAGUGUAGAGGUGAAAUUCGUAGAUAUUCGGAGGAACACCAGUGGCGAAGGCGGCUCACUGGUCCAUUACUGACGCUGAGGUGCGAAAGCGUGGGGAGCAAACAGGA